rnacentral:rRNA from 1 species
GACGAACGCUGGCGGCGUGCCUAAUACAUGCAAGUUGAGCGCUGAAGGUUGGUACUUGUACCGACUGGAUGAGCAGCGAACGGGUGAGUAACGCGUGGGGAAUCUGCCUUUGAGCGGGGGACAACAUUUGGAAACGAAUGCUAAUACCGCAUAAAAACUUUAAACACAAGUUUUAAGUUUGAAAGAUGCAAUUGCAUCACUCAAAGAUGAUCCCGCGUUGUAUUAGCUAGUUGGUGAGGUAAAGGCUCACCAAGGCGAUGAUACAUAGCCGACCUGAGAGGGUGAUCGGCCACAUUGGGACUGAGGCACGGCCCAAACUCCUACGGGAGGCAGCAGUAGGGAAUCUUCGGCAAUGGACGAAAGUCUGACCGAGCAACGCCGCGUGAGUGAAGAAGGUUUUCGGAUCGUAAAACUCUGUUGGUAGAGAAGAACGUUGGUGAGAGUGGAAAGCUCAUCAAGUGACGGUAACUACACAGAAAGGGACGGCUAACUACGUG